rnacentral:rRNA from 1 species
GACAGAGGGUGCAAACGUUGUUCGGAUUUACUGGGCGUAAAGCGCGUGUAGGCGGCUUUGCAAGUCGGGUGUGAAAGCCCUCAGCUCAACUGAGGAAGUGCGCCCGAAACUGCAGAGCUUGAGUGCCGGAGAGGGUGGCGGAAUUCCCCAAGUAGAGGUGAAAUUCGUAGAUAUGGGGAGGAACACCGGUGGCGAAGGCGGCCACCUGGACGGUAACUGACGCUGAGACGCGAAAGCGUGGGGAGCAAACAGG